rnacentral:rRNA from 1 species
UACGUAGGGGGCAAGCGUUGUCCGGAAUCAUUGGGCGUAAAGAGCGUGUAGGCGGUCCGGUAAGUCAGCUGUGAAAGUCCAGGGCUCAACCCUGGGAUGCCGGUCGAUACUGCCGGACUAGAGUACGGAAGAGGCGAGUGGAAUUCCUGGUGUAGCGGUGAAAUGCGCAGAUAUCAGGAGGAACACCUAUUGCGAAGGCAGCUCGCUGGGACGUUACUGACGCUGAGACGCGAAAGCGUGGGGAGCAAACAGG